rnacentral:ncRNA from 1 species
UUUUCGGCGUUGAAAGGGGCCAGUAAAUAGACUUUAGGCGAAAAAGAGAGUGAAACCCUAUGGCUGAAAGGUUUCAUCGCUGAUAAGCUAUUGAACCUACCCCUGGAGCUGUCAGGCUCAUAACCUGACCGUAUCCUUCGUUACAGGCUAAAGGGAGCACUAAACUAGUGCUAAAAAAGGUGGUACCGCGGAUAUAGACUCAUAUUCGUCCUUUUU